rnacentral:lncRNA from 1 species
AAGCGCUUCUUUGCAGAGGUCUGCCUGUGAGCCAUGCAGCCAGCCAACCUGGGCUGCCUGCAGGCAGUAAGAGCAGACCCCUGCAGUGUAUGUUUGUGGUGUGGCCUGGGCACCACCAUUGGCUCAGAGGCAGGCCAGUCAGAGUGUGGACCGGCCAGGAGGUAAGGUCCUUGAAGCUAGUGACCCAGUCAUAGUCAUCAAGGAUGGGAUCCGUCACCGAAAGCACAUGCUAAAUCGCUAACGUGGGUUAUUAAUAGAAUGUAGGUCAUAAGAGAAAUCGUGAUUAAUUGCAGCAUGAGCUCAUCGGCUGUUGAGGGCCUCGGUUUUCCCAAGGCAGAAUUCUUUCUUCCUAUAUCAGCUCUUUGCUGGAAUGUAGGGAAAGGCAUUUGAAUGAACAGAUCUUUUCCUGGGUUUGAUUUCAAAGACAGACGGGCUGGGGCUGGAAAGGCUGGGGUGAGCCACUCUUGGUCGGUGAGUUUCCGGUGCCCCAUGGGAAGCUCUCAGACAGUCUGGAAAGGAGAACGCAGCACAUGGUGGACGGCCACAGGGCUGUGUGUCUCCUUCACUCAGCCUAGAAUGCCCAGGAAGCCACUUACACAGCUGGUUGCGUGGAGGAGGGAGACUUGGCGACUCAUCGUGAUACCUGCUAAGAGUGCAUCGCCUUUGACCUUGGCUCUGCCUUUGACCUAGGCUCUCGUGAGACCUGAAAGGCACACUGGGCAAACUGAGGAAUCGACAGAAGCUCAGGGCACCCCAGGAUUACAUUGAGAGACCCUUUCUCAAGAAAGAGCAAAACAAGGAACAGUGCUGACAAGACGGCUCAGAGGGUAAAGGCGUUUCUGACAG